GCCGACGUGGCGGAAUGGCAGACGCGCUGCGUUCAGGUCGCAGUGACUUCACGGUCGUGUAGGUUCAACUCCUAUCGCCGGCACCA
rnacentral:tRNA from 1 species